rnacentral:lncRNA from 1 species
AAGCAAUGAGAAUUUUAUUAAACAGAAAAGUAAAUUGGGGAAUCAAACCAAGUGUCUACCAAGCUAUCCUCAAACUUGAAGACCACACACUUGGAAGAGCAACUUCUCUUUGAUGGAAGACGAUCAACUAGAUGUACAAUGGAUGGAGCACUUCCUCCUUGCCCUAAGCCUCACUUAGUCAAGCUAAGAAGUUUUACAAUCACUCAGAAAACCCUCAACAAAGCUACACUAAAGAUCUUUUUCAAUCACAAAAGAAAUGCUCACCAGAAAUUCACACCACUUUAAAACAAAUCUUGCUUUGGAGACUAUUUUCUAGCUAAAAUAUCUCUUGAGAUCUUGUAAACAAAGUGUGCAAAAGUCAUCCCUUCGUUCAGAACAGUUUGUUUUUAAAGGGGAACAGAAAUGAGCUUCAUUAAAACUUCCAACGGAUAGAAGGCAGAUGAAGGGUCAGCUAGCCGUUGGGGCUUUCGGACGUCCGACGAUCAAAUCAUCGUCCGAACCAAUCGUCCGAAAAUAGCCAAGUUGAAGUUCGGACGUCCGAUGAGAUUUUUGUCGUCCGACAGCACAGCGUCCGAUCGUAGGCCGAGAGCUAGCAAGUUAUCUUGGAAUUUUUCGGACGUCCGAUCUGGUUGAUAUGCGUCCGAGGUGUGCGUCCGAUCCUUCCGGACGUCCGACAGUUUCCUUUCGGCCGUCCGACCUGAUUGUCCUGUUUUUGCUUCUCAUUUUGGUUGUCUUGCAUUUCAUGACAUAUUUGAACCUGAUUCUUGGAUAGACAAAAAAACUUGUAUUUGAAGGAGGUUAGAUAAACAUUUCAAAGUACCAAGAAUGACAAACUAGACAUACUUAAAAAACAGUAUCUUUGAUCGGAACAAAACAAUGACUAAAUUCAUUUAUAUUAUUUCAAUCUUGUUUGCCACAUCCAAAGCAUCGUAGACUGGAGUCAAUCAAACAUAUGCUUUCCUUGUUCCAUCAGGCCUGAUCAAUCUUGGUCAGUAUAAACGAACUUUUGUGAUCAUCAAAACCAAGAAUAACAGUAUGAACUCUAAUAUCACGCCUGCCGAUUUCUCCAUUUUCUUGCCCCUCAACCCACAAACCAGCAACUUGUGAAGUUGUUGGUCUAUUAUAAACUCUUUGAUCAACACCGGACAGAGUUUUUAACACAAUGUAGUAGUUAUCUAAAUUAGGUACCUCUCUUAAAUUUCUAAAAAAUUUUGCAUAUGGAUUAGACUCAAGAACUUGCAUAAUUUUUCUAAUUACACUUUCAGAUAGUCUAGGACAAGCUGCUAAUCGAUUGCUUACUUCAGUUUCAAAAUCAUUGAAAUAUAACUGUAAAUUAUUACUAUGACCAUUGCUUGAAUUGAAAUCAUUCAGAAAAUGAUAUAUUUGUCCUUGAAUUCUAAAAGUGUAAAUUCCUUUAUUCCUUUUUGAGAGAGUCAGAUCAGUUUUAACACUGAAGGAAGUGAAUCCAAAAUGAUUAUUAUACGUUCUACUAAGAGUUCUAAAAGAUUGUGCCUCUUGUGAAGAUGAAGUCAAUAGCUCUUUAAAGAUAUCUGGAAUUUUGUUUCAAGCUAAAACAACUUCACCAUCUUGACAACAAAAAUAUGCUGUCUCAGAAAAAAACUUCUUCGCUCCGCAAUGAGGACAAUCUAAUUGGGUUGGUAGGAUAUCAGCUUUGUUAGGAAUUAUAUCCAACAAAGCUCUUCCUGUUUUGCACCCUCUUCCUAAAAUACAAUUAUUUUACAGCAUUUAGUAAUCAAACCAUUCAAUUGAUUUUAAUGGCAGUGGAGAAAAACAUGUUAGAAAACUUAAAAAGUAUUAACUCUAGACCUGGCUGAGUUUUUUUCAGAGAUGAUUUGCGAUGCUUCGAACGACAUUGAGAACUAUGCUGAACAUCAACAACUGAGGAACAAUGAUUAACAAUUGUGGUGCUUGUUUGCUUUUCAAUUAUAUUUGUAGAAACAAUUGAUCUAGACUUUGCUCUGAAUCUUUUCUUUUUCCAUCUAAAGUAGGCCUGUCUUCUAUAUUCUUUCUUAUUUAUCACCUCUCCAGCAUAUAUGUCAAAAUAUUCAAGAGGCCUGUUAUUAUAAGAUAUAACUGGAGUACUACCUAUUAUAGGUAUAUGCUUAUUCACAAAGAGGGGAGGAGUAUAAUUGGUUAGUUGUAUGUCUAGAUUUGGUAUUUCAGAAUAACCAUUUCUCCCUUUAACAUUUGUGACUUGCUCACUCUGAAACUGACUUCCUAUAACAAAUGAUUGCUCAUUGCAGUUCACUUGUGAUGAACCAGCAAGCUGAACAUCAGACAGAUUGAUUAAAGAUGAAUUCAUUGCAAACAAAGAAUGAUUGUCAAUAGAAUCAGAGGUAUAAUGAAUUCCUCCAGCAUUUUCUGGAGGGAAGCAAACAUUUUUACCUCUGCAAUCAGUUGGCAGAAUUAGAUUCCUAUCGAUGUGAUUUUGUGAAACACAUGUUUCAACAAAGUGAUUUUCACAAAUGUCAUUCUCACUAUUGAUUACAAAAGGAGAAUAUGGCUGAGAAACAGAAGAAUCGACAGUAAACUUCAUAUGCUCAGUCAGCAUAUUUAAGUUUUUCUUUUUGCUUCUUUCUAACAUGCUUAGAUCAAAAGCAUCAUCAAAUAUCUCAUCUACCAGUCUAAAACUUGAACUAAAUUUUCUUUUUUUCUUCAUUAUGGAACACAAAAGAUCAAAAUCUAAUUUUACUAUAAAUACUAUAAAGGAAGUAAGAUACUAAGCGAAAGGCACACAACAAUGACAAAAUCAAAGCAUCCUAGAAUAGCUAAAACUAACUAAUAUAUAUAGAAUGACUACCUUAAUAACCCAAACUACAAUAACACUAAAUUAUGUAAUUUUUCAAUACAUAAACAGGUAACAACAUCAUGCAGCAUUUGAAAUUAAAAAAGAGGCAAAAAUAAACAUAAGCUAAUCCGAAAAAUAAGCAUCAUAGCAUAACAUGAAACACAUGGAGGUCGUUAAUUAACGGAAGACAAUAGACAGAUGCAACAAUAAUGAAACAAAAAAAUUGCAGUUCAAAAUGGAAGGAGAGAAAAUAGAAACAUACCUAUAUUUUCUUUGCUUGGCUGAAUGUUGGCAAAAGUCGGCAACAUUUGAAAUCAAUAAAAACAGAGAAAAAAUAAACAUAAGUUAAUCGAUAAAUUACAUCAUAAUCAUUCUUUUAUGCAUAAUAUGAAACACAUGACAGUGUCUAAUUAACGGAAGCCAAUGAUAAACAGGAGAGAAGAACAUUCAAAGUAAAAAAAUUACAACUCAAAAAUAAGAAGAGAGAAAAUAGAAACAUACCUAGAUUUUGUUUGCUCCUCUUCUGAAUACCGGCAAAAGUGGGAAACAAAUGUAUAUAUACGGCUGGAAAUAGUAAGUUCUGAAAGCUGUACCAUGGAUGAUAACUCGGUACAGUAGCCAUACCUAAAAUGAGCUGUUUUUGGGGGAAAAGAAGAAUUCACGUGGAUGAGGAGGAUUUUUUGGAAGUGAAUCGAAAGGAAGUACAAUUAGUUGCUGGAACAAUUGGCAGAAAACUGAAAAUUUUGCAGGCUCGCAGAUUUUGGGGAAAGAAAUUUCAGUGACCUAAUUUUUGGGGGAAAACAAAAAUUCACGUGCGUGCGGAGGAAUUUGUGGGUUGCAAUCAAAAGGAAGGACAAUUAAUUGUUGAAGGAAUUGGCUGAAAACUGAACAUUUUGUAGGCUCAUAUAGCUGGCUACUAAUCGGCGAAAAGGAAGAGGCUAUGCGACGCAAAGAAAGAGGAAGGAAACUCUGCCUAAAUGAAGAAAAACUUCAGUGACUAAUAAGACCAUUUAUUUGACUUCGUUGGUUUCUGUCAAACCAAAGAAAGGGGCCGAAACCUUUUCCUUUCCUCACUGUUUUUUAGUACAAAAAUGGCCCACAGUUUGGAACGAGAAAAGACUGGAGUCACGUGCUUAGAAAUCGAUGAGUGGAUUCAUCGUCAUAGCUCUAUAAUGCAGGGAACAAAGACGUGGAGAAGUAAUCUUUCUUUGGAAGAC